GAUGAACGCUAGCUACAGGCUUAACACAUGCAAGUCGAGGGGCAGCAUUUCAGUUUGCUUGCAAACUGGAGAUGGCGACCGGCGCACGGGUGAGUAACACGUAUCCAACCUGCCGAUAACUCGGGGAUAGCCUUUCGAAAGAAGGAUUAAUACCCGAUGGUAUAAUCAGACCGCAUGGUCUUGUUAUUAAAGAAUUUCGGUUAUCGAUGGGGAUGCGUUCCAUUAGGCAGUUGGUGAGGUAACGGCUCACCAAACCUUCGAUGGAUAGGGGUUCUGAGAGGAAGGUCCCCCACAUUGGAACUGAGACACGGUCCAAACUCCUACGGGAGGCAGCAGUGAGGAAUAUUGGUCAAUGGGCGCAGGCCUGAACCAGCCAAGUAGCGUGAAGGAUGACUGCCCUAUGGGUUGUAAACUUCUUUUAUAUGGGAAUAAAGUUUUCCACGUGUGGAAUUUUGUAUGUACCAUAUGAAUAAGGAUCGGCUAACUCCGUGCCAGCAGCCGCGGUAAUACGGAGGAUCCGAGCGUUAUCCGGAUUUAUUGGGUUUAAAGGGAGCGUAGGUGGACAGUUAAGUCAGUUGUGAAAGUUUGCGGCUCAACCGUAAAAUUGCAGUUGAUACUGGCUGUCUUGAGUACAGUAGAGGUGGGCGGAAUUCGUGGUGUAGCGGUGAAAUGCUUAGAUAUCACGAAGAACUCCGAUUGCGAAGGCAGCUCACUGGACUGCAACUGACACUGAUGCUCGAAAGUGUGGGUAUCAAACAGG
rnacentral:rRNA from 1 species